UACGGAGGAUGCGAGCGUUAUCCUGAUUUAUUGGGUUUAAAGGGUGCGUAGGCGGCCGAGUAAGUCAGCGGUGAAAUUUUGCAGCUUAACUGUAACAGUGCCGUUGAUACUGCAUGGCUAGGAUUUGGUUGCUGUGGGUGGAAUGUGUGGUGUAGCGGUGAAAUGCUUAGAUAUCAUACAGAAUAUCGAUUGCGAAGGCAGCUCACAAAGCCAAGAUUGACGCUGAGGCACGAAAGUGUGGGGAU
rnacentral:rRNA from 1 species